rnacentral:rRNA from 1 species
AGAGACAGCAGUCGCCACGGUAAUACAGAGGGUGCGAGCGUUAAUCGGAUUUACUGGGCGUAAAGCGUGCGUAGGCGGCUUUUUAAGUCGGAUGUGAAAUCCCUGAGCUUAACUUAGGAAUUGCAUUCGAUACUGGGAAGCUAGAGUAUGGGAGAGGAUGGUAGAAUUCCAGGUGUAGCGGUGAAAUGCGUAGAGAUCUGGAGGAAUACCGAUGGCGAAGGCAGCCAUCUGGCCUAAUACUGACGCUGAGGUACGAAAGCAUGGGGAGCAAACAGGAUUAGAUACCCCAGUAGUCCCUGUCUCUUAUAC